GGCAGGAUGUGAUCCACCAGCAAGGAAGGAUGCCAAUAAGGCAGCCGAUAAGAUAAGUCUUAUAAACUAUAUAGAUUCAUGAUAAUUAAGACUGAGCUAACAGAUGAGAAUCCUAGUCAUUGGCCAAGCAGCUUUGAACCUAAUACAAGUUUCUGUGUAUUCAUUUGGGCCUAACUCAGGCGGGCGGCUGGCACAAAGUGCACAUGGAAGUCCCACCGCCCAUGGUUCGGAUAGGCUUGGGACCUCAACUAGAACAUUCCUAUUAACUCUGGAAAAGAAUCUCUGUUCUGCCCAUUUCCUGAGAACUUGGAUGAGGCUGAGUUCCCAAGUAAUAGACCAAUGUGCUCAGUAAGAGGAUAUUUCCAGACAUGGCCUUCAGGCUGUGUCGAAGUCACUGGUUACUGCCCUUUCCCAGGUCUACGACGAGAGAGCAACAAACAGCGGAAAGAUAAGAGAAACUUAGAUUUGACGAGGAAAGGAAUAUGAACACAUUUUAUUUAUUUACCUAUUUAUUUUUGGUUUUUCGAGACAGGGUUUCUCUGUAGCUUAGGAGGCUGUCCUGGAACUCGCUCAGUAGACCAGGUUGGCCUGGAACUCACAGAGCUCCGCCUGCUUCUGCCUCCACAGUACUGGGAUUAAAGGCGUGUGCUACCACUGCCCAGCAGUUCUGGAGGUCCAUAAUCCAAAAUAGGUCUGGUCUGUUAAUAUGCUGUCUAUUGUAAAUUAUCAUGUGCUUGCUGACUAAGAUUGCUGACAAACUUGCAUGUGUGAAGUGUCCUCCAUGACCCCUUGACCAGGAGUGAGGGAAAGCAGCCCAAGAGAUUUAAAAAUAGCAUUGUGCCCUUAAGGGGACAGCUGGUGGCAGAGACCUUCCCAACAGAGGCUACCAUUGCUGAUCUGGUGGCAUAGAAACGCCUGCUGGAGCUGCAGCUGACGUCCCCCCCACCCCUGUGUCUCCGUCUCUGCUGAUCUCUGCUGACGUUGGAGGCCCACUCUUGGUGAUUAGCUGCUGCAGCAGUCGCCAGUACCGGUUCUGUGGGUGCUGGGUGUGAUGGUGUUUUGCUACUUGUCUGUCGCUCUUUGUUGAUUUCCUUGUGCUUGCCACAUGCUAAAUAAACACUCAAAACCACGGGCGCAUUCUUCAGACCAUGCAGAACACGACUCACUGGAUCACUACGAAGAAUUAAGCAGAUCCUCUCUCCCUUUUUCGGAAUGGCUUGCAUUCCUUGGCUUGUGGGCUUCUUCCAAGUCUCCUCUACCCUACUGCUCCUUGUCUCACGUUAAAGACACAGGCUCACACACAUCAUGGGAGAACAUCUCCCUGCUCCAAAUGCUGUUUUUAAUCAUGCCUGUGAUUUUGCCAUGUGUAGUGACAUCUUCACAGGCUGAAGGAUUAGGAUAUAGAACAUACCACAGAAGGUAAGAGAGUUUUGAGAACUGGCCCCGGUGGCACAGGUCUGUCAGCCCAAGCUGAUGUCCUCAGUGUGAUCCCGGAGAUCUCUGUGGUGACAGACUUGCUGUUUCAUGCCUGUAAGCCCAGCAUUCAGGAAGGUGAGGCAGGAGGACUACUAUGAGUUUUGAGGCCAGCCUGGGCUAAAGAGUAUGCCCUUGUGUGAUGCAGGCUCCUUGGGUGCAUUCUGACUUUGCUUCUUGGACAAAAAGAGUACCAUGGUCCUGUUGUACAUGGAAAGCUGCAUAGCUAGAAUGUGAAAUGAGUUUAAACUGCCUGAAAUUUAAGUUUCUUUCUUCUCAAAGCUCAAGGACAAUUUUUACUGAAGUUUAAAAGAAAACUCCCCAGAGCAGGAGCCUAUAAAUUCUGUCAGCUGCCCAGAGAGGAAAGAGGGCCCUGGGUGGGGUGGGGGGCAUGCCAUUUGAGUUACUCUGUUGUGGACUUCAGCCACAUGGCAGGGUGGAUGAGGGCGGGGCUCUGGGGAAAGAGUGAGGCUGCAAGCAUUAGGGAAAGCCGGCUAGAAAGAAGGGAAGGGAUGCCUUUCAGAAUAAUUCAGAAAACCGGUCAGACUCAUAAAGCAGCGUGGCAGCACAGCCUGCUUUAAGUUUCUAGGAAAGAGUCGCCAAGUGUCCCCAACCUGCAUGGCAGCGUUCGUCUCCUGACUCCUUACGGAAUUUCCAAAUAAACAGUGAUGUUGGAAGAUUUUGUAGAGCUCACUCCAUACCCCUUAACUAGAGUCUUCAAUUUUGUUUUUGUUCGUUUUGAGACAGGGUCUCACUGUGAAGCCCUGGCUGUCAUGGAACUCAGACCAGGCUGACCUUGAACUCACUGACAUCUGUCUGCCUCUGCCUCCUGAGUGCUGGGAUAAAGGCGUGCGCCACCACUGCCUGGCUCCAUUGCCUGGUUUACAAGUGUGUGUUUCUGAGGAUUCCUGCUUGCCGGGCCAUGCCUUGCCUCUCUCCUCCGUUGCUGAACGUUGUCUCUCUCCUUGUUUCAGAGCACUUUCCCCUACAGCUUCUGCACCAUGUUUCAAUUAAAGUUCAAUAUUUGCUUAUGGUGUUACUUUUUUUUUCCUGUGAGGUAAAAUUUGCAUCUAGUGAAACAUUCCAGUUUAGGCUUCUUCCUGUUUGUCACUGCACCUGUUCUCUCCCUUAGGUGUGAACACAGAGCACACACCUUGUCCUCCCUCCUAAAGCUCUCGUUUAGCCACCAUCGAUCAGUAGGCCAUUCUCUUUUUGUCAAUGCUGGGAAUCUGAGGGUGAGCCCAGGGCCUCACAUGGGAUAAACCAGGGACUCUACCACUGAGUUAUCCCUGGUUCCAACUUUGCUUUUCUAACUUGAAGGCCAUCUUGGUUCUUUCCAUUUUCUCAUGAUUUCAUGACCAAGAUACUCAGACAUACAUAUGGUUUUGUUACAAGCUCUACACUCCAUAUUUUCUCACAUAGGAGUCGAACAUGAGUCCUAUUUCAUGGAGAAAGUACCAUCUGCCUACAUGAGUGAAGUGCCUUUGGGUUGGGGGGGGGAGUCCCAAGGCAACAUUUAGGCUUGACAAUUUAUCAGAAAGACUCAUAGGAUUCUGUUGAGAUUAUGUUUUGUUUUGUUUUGUUUGUUUGUUUUGGUUUUCGAGACAGGGUUUCUCUGUGUAGCUUUGGAGCCUAUCCUGGCACUCGCUCUGGAGACCAG
rnacentral:lncRNA from 1 species